rnacentral:tRNA from 1 species
GGGAAAGUAGCUUAGUGGUAGAGUGCUUGCCUAGCAAGCAUGAAGCCCUGGGUUCGAUUCCUCAGUACCA